rnacentral:rRNA from 1 species
GACGAACGCUGGCGGCGUGCUUAACACUUGCAAGUCGAGCGGUAAGGCCUCUUCGGGGGUACACGAGCGGCGAACGGGUGAGUAACACGUGGGUGACCUGCCCUCAGCUCUGGGAUAAGCCUGGGAAACUGGGUCUAAUACCGGAUAUGACCUUUCCUCGCAUGGGGUUUGGUGGAAAGUUUUUUCGGCUGGGGAUGGGCCCGCGGCCUAUCAGCUUGUUGGUGGGGUGAUGGCCUACCAAGGCGACGACGGGUAGCCGGCCUGAGAGGGCGACCGGCCACAGGGGGAAUGAGACCCGGCCGGGACGCCUACGGGGGGGAGCAGGGGGGGAGAUUGCGCAGGGGGCGGAGGGCUGACGCCGCGACGCCCGGGGGGGAAUGCCGGCGUUGGGGUUGGAAACCCCUUUCGACCCCGACGAAUUUGGAGGGGAGGGGUAGAAAAAGCCCCGGCCAACUACGU